ACUCCUACGGGAGGCAGCAGUGGGGAAUAUUGGACAAUGGGGGAACCCUGAUCCAGCCAUGCCGCGUGUGUGAAGAAGGCCUUAUGGUUGUAAAGCACUUUAAGCGAGGAGGAGGCUACUAGUAUUAAUACUACUGGAUAGUGGACGUUACUCGCAGAAUAAGCACCGGCUAACUCUGUGCCAGCAGCCGCGGUAAUACAGAGGGUGCGAGCGUUAAUCGGAUUUACUGGGCGUAAAGCGUGCGUAGGCGGCUUUUUAAGUCGGAUGUGAAAUCCCCGAGCUUAACUUGGGAAUUGCAUUCGAUACUGGGAAGCUAGAGUAUGGGAGAGGAUGGUAGAAUUCCAGGUGUAGCGGUGAAAUGCGUAGAGAUCUGGAGGAAUACCGAUGGCGAAGGCAGCCAUCUGGCCUAAUACUGACGCUGAGGUACGAAAGCAUGGGGAGCAAACAGGAUUAGAUACCCUGGUAGGUCAGU
rnacentral:rRNA from 1 species